UACGUAGGUGGCAAGCGUUGUCCGGAAUCACUGGGCUUAAAGGGCGCGUAGGCGGGCCAUCAAGUCAGGGGUGAAAGCCCCCAGCUCAACUGGGGAAGUGCCUCUGAUACUGGUGGUCUCGAGGGAGGUAGGGGCGUGCGGAACUUCCGGUGGAGCGGUGAAAUGCGUAGAUAUCGGAAGGAACACCGGUGGCGAAAGCGGCGCGCUGGACCUCUUCUGACGCUGAGGCGCGAAAGCCAGGGGAGCGAACGGG
rnacentral:rRNA from 1 species